ensembl:lncRNA
ACCCUGGUCACACUAGGCUACUUCAGACCACGCUGGGCCACCCUGGUCACAUUGGGUUACUCUAGGACACAUUGGGCCACCCUGGUCACAUUGGGUUACUCUAGGACACGUUGGGCCACCCUGGGCCACGCCAGGCCACCCUGGUCACACUAGGCUACUUCAGACCACGCUGGGCCACCCUGGUCACAUUGGGUUACUCUAGGACACAUUGGGCCACCCUGGCCACACUGGGGCAUCCUGGGCCACCCUGGCCACACUGGGGCAUCCUGGGCCACCCUGGCCACACUGGGGCAUCCUGGGCCACCCUGGGCCACGCCAGGCCACCCUGGGCCACGCCAGGCCACCCUGAGUCACACUAGGCUACUCCAGACCACGCUGGGCCACCCUGGCCACAUUGGGCUACUCUAGGACACGUUGGGCCACCCUGGGGCACCCCUGGGCUGCUCCCCAAUGCCACGCCUGCUGAUUUUGGUGGGGUCCAGGCCCGGAGGCCUUGGGCUUCUGCAGUCGGGCUACAGGAGGGCUAUGUUGGAAAGGACAUUUUGUGCCAAACCCAGGCCUGAUUUUUGCCUAGGUCAUUUUUUGGGGUUUGGUGGGAGGAAACAGCACAGGCAGAAGUGGUCAACUGAAUUCCUUCCCCUGGAGCCAAGGGCCUUGCUGACAUCAGCCCCUGACUCGUUGGUAAUCAAUGAGAAACCUGAUACAAUCAGAGCGAAUCCCCAGGGUUUCCAGAUCACUCUGCACUUGGAAAGAACUUUCUGGAAAUGCAGCACACCCCCUGCCCCCACGCCCUUGCUCUGUGUCCCUGCAAGGUGGGGCUUGGGGGCGCUUCCUCACCGCUGUGUGGGGAGGAGGCCCCCGACUCCGAGCAGAGAUGUUGAUUUUCUUCCCCUUCACUUCAAACAAGACACAACACAGUCGUCCAGUAGGCACGAGAGCAAGUUCCCAGCCGCUGUCCUACAGAAGUCCCCACCGCUCAGGCUGUCAUCAUAGGCUGCGUGUCCCUCCCGGAUGCGUGUGUGGAAGCCCAGGCCCUCGGCACCUCAGAGCGGGACUGCAUUCGGAGAUGGGGUCUUCCCAGCACUGAUGAGGCUAAAAUACGACCGUUGGGGUGGGCCUGGCCCCGUAUGACUGUGUCCUCUGAGAGGGGAGACCGCAGGAGGACACGGGGCAGACGGCGUCCACGCGCCCAGGGGAGAGGCCUCGGGAGGAGCUGGAUCCCAGUCGCCGGCCCCGGGGAACUGGGAAAGCGGGUGCCGUCGCAGCUGCCCGGUCGGCUGUGCUGUGUUUCGGCCGCCCAGACACGGAUGCAUCCGCGUGGCACGGAUUACAGAGAAUUUCGCUCCUGGGAGGUGAUCCCCCCAGCACUCCAGUGGGGUGCGGCAGGCUGGCACGUCACCCCCACGACGAGGGGCUCCGGUCCCACUGCGCGCCGGGGGGGAGGAAAUCGCCCUUUGACCUUCCUUCGAGGGGCAUCACUAUGGGGCCAGGCCGGGGAGGCUGGUGGCCUUGGUGAGGCAGAGUCCUCCCCACCUGUGCUCCCGGCUCAGCUCUGCCGCGGCUCCCCACCCACCGCGGGCCUGACGCACACCCCUCCCGAGGUCCACGUGAUUACUUCGGGGAGCCCUGCUUUGUGCUGAUAGUGCUGUGUGGCCCUGGCCUCGGCAGAUUGUCCACAACAAGGAAGCAUCUAGAAGCAACGGUCCCUCUGCGCCUUGUGAUUUGUCCUCAGAGUGUCCAAUGUGCCCGUCACUGCCUAGAGCCCCAUGCUUUGGCCUUCAAUGCAACACGUGCCAGUCUGGGACCAUCCCAGCCCCCUUCGUCUCCACGGGCACCUAGCAUGUUGCUGGAUGCCUGAUCUGCAGUGACUUGUGUCCAGGAAAGCUGCAUUUAAAAGAGAAUUCAAGGGGCGUCUGGGUGACUCAGUCGGUUAAGCGUCCGACUUCAGCUUGGGUCACGAUCUCACGGUUCGUGGGUUCCAGCCCCGUGUCGGACUCUGUGCUGACAGCUGGGAGCCUGGAGCCUGCUUGGGAUUCUGUGUCUCCCUCUCUCUCUGUCCCUCCUGUACUCAUGCUCUCUCUCUCUCUCUCUCUCUCUCUCUCUCAAAACUGAAUGAACAUUAAAAAAAUUUUUUUUAAAGAGUAUUCAAUGGUCAGGUCAUGUUUAAGGGAAUCCUUUUGGGAAGCAUUAUGCAAAGAAAAUAAAUCCUCAGUAACUUGCA